UCUGAUCAUGUUCUGAUCCAACAGACACAUCACAGAAGAACUAGAACUCAUGAGAGGAAAUACUGAGUAAAACCUGCAGACAAGAACUGAUCGAUUGAAGUCGUGUGGAUUACUUUAUGCUACCUAAAUGUGAAUUUUGGACCAUCAAAGUUUGGAACCUGUUUACUUGCAUUAUAAGGACAAACAAAGCUUGUAUCUUCUUCUUAAAAUAUUUGUUUGUGUUCUGCUGAAGACAGAAAGUCAUACACAUCUGGGAUGAUAUGAAGGGAGGAACUCCUCAACAGAGACACAUCAGUAAAUGGUAAAGGCUUUCUCUUGUGUAACAUUAAUGACAAUUUUCCACCUUUGCAAACUUAUUGUACAGUAGGGCUGGGCAAUAGGACGAUGUAAUUGGAUAUCGACAAUAUCUUACAAAUUUCCCGAUGCCGAUUGCAACACUCAUUGACAGACGAUGAUCGACAAUAUCGGGAAAUGGCAAAACCAUGGAUCUGUGAUGUCACUAAAUAUAUUAAACAGGUGCCCAGGGUGUGGAUCUAGCACCCGCAAAAUGCGACGAGGCUUAAUCCAGUUCGCAAGCUCCUCAUCCAAAUGCAGGUAUUUCAUGCGCGGGUCAUUUUGCUCAUGGAAACUUUGACACAUGAUGUUCAAUGGUGAGAUGUUCAGUAAAAAGGAGUAACAUUUUGGUCUGUUCUCUCCCAAAACCAAUUCACAAGUUCACUCAUUUAGUCCUGGAGCACACUGAGGGAAACAGAUUUGGCGUGCUGUCCAUAACGGAGGGGCUCGAGUACGGGACUGGGCUUGCACUCUGAGAUCCCCCAGGACUAAGUGACUACAGCAAUAAGACAAUUUUGAAAUUAUAAUUGGUAUAAACCUCUGGAGUUGCAUGGCUUACCUUAAUGCUGCCUUUAAAAUAUCUCAGUUUGUGUCCGCAGAAGAAAGAAAGUCAUACAUGUUUGAGACGACAAAAGGAUGAGUAAAUGAUCUGAGAAUUAUCAUUUUUGGGUGAACUAUUCCUUGUAUUGAAAAUAUUUUAUUCAUCAGUUUUUCUGUCCUCUAAUUUUAAGGGUAUCAAUUAUUUAUAAUGUGUCUACUGUGUGAGGGAUAAUUAAAAAAAUCCUGUCAUUUACUCACAAUCCUUCAUAUGGAGCCCCUUUCUGAAACAGUUUUGCAUUCCCUCACAUUAUGUUUUCUGCUCAAAUGCAAUACAUUUAUCAUGGUUUUACUACAGUAAUAUUGUAGACUGUAGUAACCAUGUUUUACAGUUACAAAACAAGGGUUUCUGUAGUAAAGCAAUGUUUAAUUUUAAUGGUUAAUCAGGGUUUUACUACAGUAACAUUAGCUGAACUGUGGUAUUCGUAGUAAAAUGAGAGGAACCACAAAAUUAUUAUUUUUAUCUCCAUAGAUUUCAUUGUCUGGUAUUUAUGGUUUCACUACAAAUACUAUAGUUAAACUAUGAUUACUGUAUUAAAACCAUGGUUAAUAUUUUGUGAGAGAACGCAAAAUUUAUUGUGAGGGAACACAAACUUUUUCAGGAGAAAAACAUCCCUCCCUAUUCUUAAGAGGCUCCAUAUGUAUGUCUUUCUGUUGUGGAAAACAAAAGUCUCAGUCACCAUUCACUUUUAUAGAAAAAAAUAAAUAACAAAAGCUGCAAUGAAAGUGAAUGAUGACUAAGAAUGUCAGUCCCUAAUGUUCUGCCUCAUAUCUCUGUAUUUCACAGAAUGUAAAAGUCAUAAAGUUUCAGAACAACACAAGGGAUGAAAUGUUCUGAAAAUGCCAAAUCCAUAACCACCACCAUCAUCAUCAUUGCCAUCAUCAUCAUCAUCUUCCUCAUCAAUUUAAAUCUCCACUGAUCACAGACAUUUUUGGAAGGUUUACAUCUAACAUCACAUCAGCAUCUACACAAAUACGAUGAGACUCGUCUCUGAUCUUCUGUCUGUUGUUCUGGUUCUGAUCUUCAUUGGACUUUAAUACUGCUAGUGACUCUAUAAGAGACAUCAGACUCGAGGUGAAGCUCCAUCUACUUCAAAGAACUCUAAGUUUUUAAUUAAGGUUUUCUUCAUUCAUCUUGCUGUGACAUCUGCUUGUGUCAUUUAGAAACAGGUUUAUUUGUUUGUUUCAUAAAGUUGGUUUUGUUGCCUCCUGCUGGCUGAAACCAGACAUGAGCUAAAUUCAGAUAUUUGAUGAUGGAAGACAGAGAAUUUGUGUUGAAAUAAGAGAGCUAUGGUGUGAGAUUUGAUGAAUAAAGUUGUGGAAUAUUAUUCAUUUGUGAUACUUGUUUUUCAAAGACACUGAUUCCUCAUUCAAAAGAUCAGGAGGAAAUGAAACGGUUAGUAGUAGUACAUUUAAUAUGUUUAUAUAAAAAGAUGCUUAUUUUAAUCAGUAUUGAGAAUAAAUCCUGAUGCCUUCUACCCUGAACUAGAAUUCGCUAUAUGCAUGGAACGUUAAUUACAACUUCCGGAAUAAUAUAAGCCAGCUCAAAAACUUCCGGUGAAACGUCACUUGCUGUAGCGGCAUAUUCAAUUUUCUGAUAGAUACAGUGUAAAUAGCCUGUAAGGCGAUAUCAAUCUUUUUUUUUUUUUUUUUUUUUAAUAGUUAGGCCUAACAGUUAUUCACUUGUUCAAAUAGAUUCUAAAAAUAAGUGAACGAAAUGAAAAAGACGUUUAAAUUUCAGCGUUGUGAGUGGACGACAGCUGAGCACUGUUGCGUCCUUCAGUGAUCAUCCUCAGCAAAAUUCAAUACGGCUAUUAGUUUUCACACUUUCCCCUCCAACGACCAGCAACGAAAGAAAUGGAUCUCAAAUAUAAGAAGAGUCAACCUAACCA